rnacentral:rRNA from 1 species
UGGGGAAUAUUGGACAAUGGGGGCAACCCUGAUCCAGCAAUGCCGCGUGUGUGAAGAAGGCCUGCGGGUUGUAAAGCACUUUCAGUAGAGAAGAAAAGCCUGGCGUUAAUACCGCCGGGUCUUGACGUAACCUACAGAAGAAGCACCGGCUAACUCCGUGCCAGCAGCCGCGGUAAUACGGAGGGUGCAAGCGUUAAUCGGAAUUACUGGGCGUAAAGCGCGCGUAGGCGGUUUGGUAAGUCGGAUGUGAAAGCCCUGGGCUCAACCUGGGAAUUGCAUUCGAUACUGCCUGACUAGAGUAUGGUAGAGGGAAGUGGAAUUUCCGGUGUAGCGGUGAAAUGCGUAGAUAUCGGAAGGAACACCAGUGGCGAAGGCGACUUCCUGGGCCAAUACUGACGCUGAGGCGCGAAAGCGUGGGGAGCAAACAGG